rnacentral:rRNA from 1 species
UAGCUACGUACGGACAGGAUAAGCGCUGAAGGCAUCUAAGUGCGAAGCCCACCUCGAGAUGAGAUCUCCCACCGGGUAACCGGGUAAGGACCCUGGUAGAACACCAGGUUGAUAGGCCGGAAGUGUAAGCGCAGUAAUGUGUUCAGCGGACCGGUACUAAUAGUCCGAGGGCUUGAUAUUCG